CCAAAAUGCGAGACCAAUUUGUUCAUCGUUACUAUACAAUUAAGGAAUUGAUUAUUGGGACAGGUAAUUGCACUAUUGAGUGCUUCAGUAACCUAAAUUUUCGCAACUGUGCAUUAUUUCAUAUACCGCAUUUUUUUGCUAUACCGUUAUAUUUCAGUCUGCUCGAGUAAUCGUGCGUUUAUACUCGUUUAUUCCACUAUAACUUUAUUUGCAAAUGAUGCAGAAGCUGCAAGAAUCGUCUCAUACUCUGAAAACGGUUUUUUCACCAUCAAUUAGUGCAAUCGAAAGACAAAUUUGAAAAACAUCUGUAUGCUCUAAUUAAGUCAUCACAAUGAAAGUAACUGUAUUCGGCAAUUGCAUACAGAAUUUACUCUAAUGUAAGCGGGAAGCCAUCGCU